rnacentral:siRNA from 1 species
CAAAAAGAUAGAGAGAGUGAUAG